rnacentral:rRNA from 1 species
AGAGUUUGAUCAUGGCUCAGGAUGAACGCUGGCGGCGUGCUUAACACAUGCAAGUCGAACGAAGCACCUUAUUUGAUUUUCUUCGGAACUGAAGAUUUGGUGACUGAGUGGCGGACGGGUGAGUAACGCGUGGGUAACCUGCCCUGUACAGGGGGAUAACAAUCAGAAAUGACUGCUAAUACCGCAUAAGACCAUAGCACCGCAUGGUGCAGGGGUAAAAACUCCGGCGGUACAGGAUGGACCCGCGUCUGAUUAGCUGGUUGGUGAGGUAACGGCUCACCAAGGCGACGAUCAGUAGCCGGCUUGAGAGAGUGAACGGCCACAUUGGGACUGAGACACGGCCCAAACUCCUACGGGAGGCAGCAGUGGGGAAUAUUGCACAAUGGGGGAAACCCUGAUGCAGCGACGCCGCGUGAGUGAAGAAGUAUUUCGGUAUGUAAAGCUCUAUCAGCAGGGAAGAAAAUGACGGUACCUGACUAAGAAGCCCCGGCUAACUACGUGCCAGCAGCCGCGGUAAUACGUAGGGGGCAAGCGUUAUCCGGAAUUACUGGGUGUAAAGGGUGCGUAGGUGGUAUGGCAAGUCAGAAGUGAAAACCCAGGGCUUAACUCUGGGACUGCUUUUGAAACUGUCAGACUGGAGUGCAGGAGAGGUAAGCGGAAUUCCUAGUGUAGCGGUGAAAUGCGUAGAUAUUAGGAGGAACAUCAGUGGCGAAGGCGGCUUACUGGACUGAAACUGACACUGAGGCACGAAAGCGUGGGGAGCAAACAGGAUUAGAUACCCUGGUAGU